rnacentral:rRNA from 1 species
UACGUAGGGACCGAGCGUUGUCCGGAUUUAUUGGGCGUAAAGAGCGUGUAGGCGGCCAGGUAGGUCCGUUGUGAAAACUGGAGGCUUAACCUCCAGCUGUCGAUGGAAACCAUCUGGCUAGAGUCCGGAAGAGGAGAGUGGAAUUCCUGGUGUAGCGGUGAAAUGCGCAGAUAUCAGGAAGAACACCCGUGGCGAAGGCGGCUCUCUGGGACGGUACUGACGCUGAGACGCGAAAGCGUGGGGAGCGAACAGG